rnacentral:rRNA from 1 species
UACGUAGGGGGCAAGCGUUGUCCGGAAUUAUUGGGCGUAAAGAGCUCGUAGGCGGUUUGUCGCGUCUGCUGUGAAAUCCCGAGGCUCAACCUCGGGCCUGCAGUGGGUACGGGCAGACUUGAGUGGUGUAGGGGAGACUGGAAUUCCUGGUGUAGCGGUGAAAUGCGCAGAUAUCAGGAGGAACACCGGUGGCGAAGGCGGGUCUCUGGGCCGAUACUGACGCUGAGGAGCGAAAGCGUGGGGAGCAAACGGG